AUGCUGAUCCGCGAUUACUAGCGAUUCCGACUUCACGGAGUCGAGUUGCGGACUCCGAUCCGGACUACGACGCGCUUUCUGAGAUUAGCUCCCCCUCGCGGGUUGGCAACCCUCUGUACGCGCCACUGUAUUACGUGUGAAGCCCUACCCAUAAGGGCCAUGAGGACUUGACGUCAUCCCCACCUUCCUCCGGUUUGUCACCGGCAGUUUCAUUAAAGUGCCCAACUGAAUGAUGGCAAUUAAUGACAAGGGUUGCGCUCGUUGCGGGACUUAACCCAACAUCUCCCGACACGAGCUGACGACAGCCAUGCAGCACCUGUGUUGCCGCUCCCUUUCGGGCACACCCACCUCUCAGCGGGCUUCGGCACAUGUCAAGGGUAGGUAAGGUUUUUCGCGUUGCAUCGAAUUAAUCCACAUAAUCCACCGCUUGUGCGGGCCCCCGUCAAUUCCUUUGAGUUUUAAUCUUGCGACCGUACUCCCCAGGCGGUCAACUUCACGCGUUAGCUGCGUUACCAAGUCCGUUAAGACCCGACA
rnacentral:rRNA from 1 species